AGGGUUUGAUCCUGGCUCAGGAUGAACGCUAGCGGCAGGCUUAACACAUGCAAGUCGAGGGGUAACAGGGAUUAGUUUACUAAUUUGCUGACGACCGGCGCACGGGUGAUACAAUUUACCUUUUACUGGAGAAUAGCCCAGAGAAAUUUGGAUUAAUGCUCCAUGGUAUUAUAGGGUCACAUGGUUUUAUAAUUAAAGUUCCGACGGUAAGAGAUGAGUAUGCGUCCUAUUAGCUAGAUGGUAAGGUAACGGCUUACCAUGGCGACGAUAGGUAGGGGUCCUGAGAGGGAGAUCCCCCACACUGGUACUGAGACACGGACCAGACUCCUACGGGAGGCAGCAGUGAGGAAUAUUGGGCAAUGGAGGCAACUCUGACCCAGCCAUGCCGCGUGCAGGAAGACUGCCCUAUGGGUUGUAAACUGCUUUUAUACAGGAAGAAACCCACGCUCGUGAGCGUGGCUGACGGUACUGUAAGAAUAAGGACCGGCUAACUCCGUGCCAGCAGCCGCGGUAAUACGGAGGGUCCAAGCGUUAUCCGGAUUCAUUGGGUUUAAAGGGUGCGUAGGCGGAAUAUUAAGUCAGUGGUGAAAUCCUAUAGCUCAACUAUAGAACUGCCAUUGAUACUGAUAUUCUUGAGUCUAGAUGAAGUGGGCGGAAUACAACAUGUAGCGGUGAAAUGCAUAGAGAUGUUGUAGAACACCAAUUGCGAAGGCAGCUCACUAACCUAGUACUGACGCUGAUGCACGAAAGCGUGGGGAGCGAACAGGAUUAGAUACCCUGGUAGUCCACGCCGUAAACGAUGAUUACUCGGUGUUGGCGAUAUACAGUCAGUACCCAAGCGAAAGUGAUAAGUAAUCCACCUGGGGAGUACGAUCGCAAGGUUGAAACUCAAAGGAAUUGACGGGGGCCCGCACAAGCGGUGGAGCAUGUGGUUUAAUUCGAUGAUACGCGAGGAACCUUACCUGGGCUUAAAUGCAUAAUGACAGGUCUAGAAAUAGCAGUCUUUCUUCGGACACUUUACAAGGUGCUGCAUGGUUGUCGUCAGCUCGUGCCGUGAGGUGUCGGGUUAAGUCCCAUAACGAGCGCAACCCUUGUCGUUAGUUACCAGCGAGUAAUGUCGGGGACUCUAACGAGACCGCCCGCGUAAGCGGGAGGGAAGGUGGGGAUGACGUCAAAUCAUCACGGCCCUUACGUCCUGGGCCACACACGUGCUACAAUGGCAGAUACAGAGGGCAGCUACCUGGUGACAGGAUGCAAAUCUCGAAAGUCUGUCUCAGUUCGGAUUGAAGUCUGCAACUCGACUUCAUGAAGCUGGAAUCGCUAGUAAUCGCGCAUCAGCCAUGGCGCGGUGAAUACGUUCCCGGGCCUUGUACACACCGCCCGUCAAGCCAUGGAAGCUGGGGGUGCCUGAAGUCGGUAACCGUAAGGAGCUGCCUAGGGUAAAACUAGUAACUGGUGUUAAGUCGUAACAAGGUAACCGU
rnacentral:rRNA from 1 species